GAUGAACGCUGGCGGCGUGCCUAAUACAUGCAAGUCGAGCGAACAGACGAGGCGCUUGCUCCUCUGACGUUAGCGGCGGACGGGUGAGUAACACGUGGAUACCCUACCUAUAAGACUGGGAUAACUUCGGGAAACCGGAGCUAAUACCGGAUAAUAUAUUGAACCGCAUGGUUCAAUAGAGAAAGUCGGUUUUGCUGGCACUUCUAGAUGGAUCCGCGCCGCAUUAGCUAGUUGGUAAGGUAACGGCUUACCAAGGCAACGAUGCGUAGCCGACCUGAGAGGGUGAUCGGCCACACUGGAACUGAGACACGGUCCAGACUCCUACGGGAAGCAGCAGUAGGGAAUCUUCCGCAAUGGGCGAAAGCUUGACGGAGCAACGCCGCGUGAGUGAUGAAGGUCUUCGGAUCGUAAAACUCUGUUAUUAGGGAAGAACAAAUGUGUAAGUAACUAUGCACGUCUUGACGGUACCUAAUCAGAAAGCCACGGCUAACUACGUG
rnacentral:rRNA from 1 species